GACGAACGCUGGCGGCGUGCUUAACACAUGCAAGUCGAACGGAAAGGCCCUGCUUUUGUGUGGUGCUCGAUUGGCGAACGGGUGAGUAUCACGUGAGUAACCUGCCCUUGUCUUUGUGAUAACUUCAGGAAACUGCGGCUAAUACCGGAUAGGAUCUCCUGCUGCAUGGUGUGGGUUGGAAAGUUUCGGCGGUUGUGGAUGGACUCGCGGCUUAUCAGCUUGUUGGUGGGGUAGUGGCUUACCAAGGCUUUGACGGGUAGCCGGCCUGAGAGGGUGACCGGGCACAUUGGGACUGAGAUACGGCCCAGACUCCUACGGGAGGCAGCAGUGGGGAAUAUUGCACAAUGGGCGGAAGCCUGAUGCAGCAACGCCGCGUGCGGGAUGACGGCCUUCGGGUUGUAAACCGCUUUCGCAUGUGACGAAGCGUGAGUGACGGUAAUGGGUAAAGAAGCACCGGCUAACUACGUG
rnacentral:rRNA from 1 species